CGGGGAAUAUUGCACAAUGGGCGAAAGCCUGAUGCAGCAACGCCGCGUGGGUGAUGAAGGCCUUUGGGUUGUAAAUCCCUUUCGGCCGGGAAGAAGUGUAUUGUCGUUAAUAGCGAUGGUAUUCGAUGGUACCGGAAGAAGAAGCACCGGCAAACUUCGUGCCAGCAGCCGCGGUAAUACGAAGGGUGCGAGCGUUGUUCGGAAUUACUGGGCGUAAAGGGUUCGUAGGCGGGAAGACAAGUUGAGUGUGAAAACCCCGGGCUUAACCUGGGACGUGCACCCAAAACUGUUUUUCUUGAGUAUCGGAGAGGGUAGUGGAAUUGCUGGUGUAGGAGUGACAUCCGUAGAGAUCAGCAGGAACACCGGAGGCGAAGGCGACUGCCUGGCCGAAUACUGACGCUGAGGAACGAAAGCGUGGGGAGCAGACAGG
rnacentral:rRNA from 1 species